rnacentral:SRP_RNA from 1 species
GUUGGGCUUGGUAGCGCAAGCCUGUAACCCAAGCGGGAGCAUUAAGAUGGUGGAACAAUUGGGCUUGCUCUGAUGGCUGGGCUUGGGGUGCUAUCUUCCUCCCUGCCCGUUCCAAGUGGUGAGAUGGGCCGUGGAGUCUUUGCUAAAGUUGAGGUGUCUCGGCCCUUAGAUUGGAGGGCACCGCGUCAGGCUGGCUUCACAGAGCAGCGAAAACCUCCUUCUCUCUGCAGUGGAAGGAUAACAGGCCGGUGCAACCUUGGUCCACUAUAGCUUGAUGGGCCGCCCAACUUGAACCACCAUCUUU